rnacentral:rRNA from 1 species
UACGGGGGGGGCAAGCGUUGUUCGGAAUUACUGGGCGUAAAGGGCUCGUAGGCGGCCAACUAAGUCAGACGUGAAAUCCCUCGGCUUAGCCGGGGAACUGCGUCUGAUACUGGAUGGCUAGAGGUUGGGAGAGGGAUGCGGAAUUCCAGGUGUAGCGGUGAAAUGCGUAGAUAUCUGGAGGAACACCGGUGGCGAAGGCGGCAUCCUGGACCAAUUCUGACGCUGAGGAGCGAAAGCCAGGGGAGCAAACAGG